ACCCUCCAGUUCCCUUUCCCGUUGGAUCUAAACCCUGGUCUUGGUGGUCGUAAAAGGGGGAAUAGUAGUACUGAAACUGCUUGUAGUGUGUGCUGCAUUGCAUGUGGGAUAGUUUCAGACAAGG
ensembl:snoRNA